rnacentral:rRNA from 1 species
AUUGAACGCUAGCGGGAUGCUUUACACAUGCAAGUCGAACGAGUGGCGGACGGGUGAGUAAUAUAUCGGAACGUGCCCAGUAGCGGGGGAUAACUACUCGAAAGAGUGGCUAAUACCCCAUACUAUUGGAGCGGCCGAUAUCGGAUUAGCUAGUGGGUGGGGUGAGGGCUCACAAAGGCAAAGAUCCGUCGUCGGUUUGAGAGGGCGACCAGCCACAAUGGGACUGCGACACGGCCCAGAGUACUACGUGAGGCAGCAGUGGGGAAUUUUGGACAAUGGGGGAAACCCUGAUCCAGACAUCCCGCUCGUAUGAGAAGGCCUGCGGGUUGUAAAGUACUUUUGGCAGAGAAGCGGUAUCUGCAGAAUAAGCACCGGCUAACUACGUGCCAGCAGCCGCGGUAAUAC